UACGUAGGGGGCAAGCGUUGUCCGGAAUCAUUGGGCGUAAAGAGCGCGUAGGCGGCCCGAUAAGUCCGCUGUGAAAGUCAAGGGCUUAACCCUUGAAUGCCGGUGGAAACUGUCGGGCUAGAGUCCGGAAGAGGCGAGUGGAAUUCCUGGUGUAGCGGUGAAAUGCGCAGAUAUCAGGAGGAACACCGGUGGCGAAGGCGGGUUGCUAGGCUGACACUGACGCUGAGUGCGCGAAAGCUAGGGUAGCAAACGGG
rnacentral:rRNA from 1 species